AGGAAGACAUUUGCUUGGGAAGGAAAUGUUUGAUCUCUGGCCUUGAUUUAAGUCUCUGUGGUAGUUAGGUUUCCAAAAGCCGUUCCUCUGUUUAUGUCAUUUUGAGGUAAUGUGGUUAACAUGUGUAAUCUCUUUAGUCUUUAGAUGGGAGAGCAAUUAACGUAAAACAAGCCAACACGCCAUCUUUUCAAAGUGGUGGCAGACAGUGGUUACCACUAACAUCAAGAAACAGAGGCGGUGCAAGAAGCCUGCAGGGUGGAAGAGGAGCAACUGCUGAAGCCAGAGAGCAUCCCUCAGAUGGUGGUGGCUAUGCUGUUAACCUGAACACAAGUUCUUCCAGAGGACACUGUCCAUUUCAAAGGGGUCCACAUUCACAAAGUGGAGACCCUCCCUCUGAAAUACCUGCCACUUCUGCUCCAAGGCGAAGAACUCCAGGGAUGGGAAGACGAGGAUCACGGGACAGAGACAACAGUGGAGGUGCUCCCUGCCAUGAGCCAAUAAUUUCCCAGAAAGGUGACUAUAUGCCAUCAAGA